rnacentral:piRNA from 1 species
UUGUUGCAGAAAAUUGAAAAA